GUUACAAAAUUAUUUUUGUGUGAUAUUUCUUUUCGAUUUUGUCUCUCGUGAAGGUUACAUGGAGUAGCUAGUUACGGUAGAUAACUGUUUAUUGAUAUUUAAUUUAUAAAUUGUGAUAACUUUGUAUUAUGUAAUAUAAAUCUUUAUCAGUGCUGUGAUUUGGGCUGCUGGUUGCAUGGUGGAAGUUAACGUGUAUUUAGAACAAGUUAAAAAGAGCAUUUUUCUCAUAUACCUAUGUAAUAUAUCGUGGAAUAUCUUUUCAAUCAUGUGAAGUUUUUCAAAAAAUCGGUUUUAAUCCAAUGAAGUAAAUUACGCACCGUCCUUCUCUUUACAUAUUUUAGAGGAAAUGGAAUCGGAAAUAUCUUGUUCUACAAAGCAGUUAACUGAAGAAGAACAGCAACGUUUGUCUCUUCAAAAUAAUCGCCUAGUAAGUGAACACAAAGCUAGAAUGCUAGAAAUAGAAGCUAAGAAACAUUGGGAUUUAUUUUAUAAACGAAACGAGACACGUUUUUUCAAAGACCGGCACUGGACCACGAGAGAAUUCGAGGAACUGUUAAACGAGGGGUCUACAGCUAUCAGAACACUUUUUGAAGUAGGUUGUGGCGUGGGUAACUUUAUUUUUCCUUUAAUCGAAGAAAAAUUGAACUUUAAAGUAAUGGCUUGUGAUUUAUCACCUCGUGCCGUCGAGAUGGUAAAAAGUAAUCCUCAAUACAAUACCGAGUUGAUGAAAGCUUUCCAGUGUGAUAUAACAACCGACGAUGUAUUUCAAGACGUUAAAACAGAUACAGUUGACAUCGUUACGUUGAUUUUUGUACUAUCCGCUAUUCACCCUGAGAAAUUUGUAUCGACUUUGAAAAGGAUUUUUGCAUUAUUAAGACCCGGAGGAAUGGUUCUGUUCCGAGAUUACGGCUUGUACGACAUGGCACAGUUACGGUUUAAAGCCGGUCAUAAAAUUUCGGAUAAUUUCUAUAUGAGACAAGAUGGCACGAGGAGCUACUACUUCUCCCUGGAAUUUGUUGAGGAAAUUUUCGGAGAAGCUGGUUUUAGGAUCGUUGUUAAUUCGUAUGUGCACAGGCGUACCGUUAAUAAAAAAGAGAAUAUCGAUGUUCCAAGGAUUUUUGUUCAGACGAAAGCACAAAAACCUGCGUGAAAGAGGUCAUUUCGCAACAUCGGGGCUAGGAAUAGCUGAUUUAAAUGGAAGUUUCUGUGCAACUGGAAAAUCGUCAAGAGGGUCACAAACGAACA